rnacentral:lncRNA from 1 species
UGGCUAAGUGAGAGGUAAUAAAAUCCAAGUGCUUCCCACAUCUUGCUCCUUAUCAAUCUCCAAGCAAUUGCUUUAGAAAUUGACCACCUGCCAGCUAUUCAGAGGCUUAAAUGCAGUGGUCUCGGUUCACUUCUUGCGGGCAGCUUUACACAUUCCCCAGCCCAGCUGACUUGUUCUCCUUCACUGAAUUGCAGGGGAGAAAUAUGGAACAUUUUUGGAAUAAAAUGGUUCACUUUACAAGAAACUUGGUUUCUGCCUCUGGUUUGCUUGUCCUUCCAUUCUUCUUCCAGACAAUAGCAUUGCAAAUCCCUCCAGGUUACUCUGAGUGACUGGGCAGGAGGAUGUCCUCCCCCUGAGUUCCUAAAGUACUUCCGGAUGCCCUACUCAGUUGACCUCUAACGGUGCCCUUUGGCAUAGUUUCGUAUUGUUCUACUUUUCAUAGCACAGCUUUCUACCCUUAGCUCAAGGGUGUCAUAAAUAUGAGUCUGCCCUACAUUCCUUUGACUAGUUCAGAUUGAGGCCCAGUACAUCAUUUUGUCUAAUUUAAGAGUGUUCAUAAAGGCUGGGAACUUAAGUGAAAAAUACAUAAUGCCCUCAAGGAUAGUUUCAAUCUGUAAUACAUACAGAUGUUGUUCAUUUAUUUAUUAAUAUUAUCUGUGUGCAUAAGUUUGAAAAAAGUCCCUAACUAUGGUUUAGAGAGUAAACAGUGAGCUCAAAAGUCUACUGCGUAAUUACUCUGCCAUUUUCUCAGGUUUGAAAUGCUUGUUGUGGACCCCCUUGUGUGUAAAAAUGUCACUGAUGCAUUGAGUAUAAUAGCAAAAAUAAAAUUUAAAAACCUACUAAAUAUCCCUCAGAUGGAGAAUAAAUAAAUUAGCCAUAGUCAUAGUCAUACAGGAAAAUAUUAUCCUGAAGUUAUAAUGAGUGAUAGAAUACUAAGCUUCUGCAAAUAAAUUAAAGAGAUGUGUAUCAAUCUGGAUUCUCUUCACAAGCAGGUUGAGCAAGAGAACAAA